GUGAUGAGGAGGUGUGGCCUCUCACCACACAGAAUCCCAGGAGUUCAGGUGUCUAGGGGAAAUUCUGAGGGGUGGGUGCCUCCUCUCCCUGACCCCAUCCCCAAGCUAGAGUGAGUGAGGCCCCCAGAUGACUUUGUGGGAGGGGAUAUGCUGCACUCACUUGAAAGCCAGAUUCAGAACUUCUGCCUCAGUGACAGGUCCUUUCUGGGCCUACAAAGACAUCUCCCCUGGGCCUAUCUUCCCAAGAUGGACCUGGAUCUGGACCUGGGUCCAAGGGGUGAUUAUUUUGGGAGGUAAAGGGUACUGUUGGAGGAAGCCUGGAUGUUCAGGUGUGAGUAUCCUUGUGUUAUUUGGGGUUCCUUAUAGUCUGGGACAAGUAGAGUAGGAUAGGGAUGGGAGAGGAAGGAUCAGUGAUAUGGAUCUCCAAGAAGACUGAAAAAUCGAAAAACCAAACCAAACCAACCAAACAGAAACUCAUUUGGAACUAGGUCUCAACAUUCUCUCUCUCUCUCUCUCUCUCUCUCUCUCUCUCUCUCUCUCUCUCUCUCUCUCUCUCUCUCUGUGUGUGUUGAGGGGGGGGAGAGGUUAUAUCCAGUGUCUCACUCUGUACAGCCCAUGCUGAUCUGAAACUCAUGACCAUCCUGCCUUAACACCACAGAUAUGUCACCACACUGAGCUCAGCAUAGUUGGUCGCGGGAGUAUGCAUGUCAUAAUGGAAGGAUGGGCUCUCUUCACCUAGCAGCCGAUUGUCUUAAUUGAUAACAAACACCUGUAGACACGGAAUCCUUGAGUCUUUAUUUGCGUUUUUGUUCAUGGCUUGACCAUUGUCCUAGUAGCACUUGGAAGUGAGGGAGCCCAUGAUGUGGGAUUCCUGGUGGAUAGGAGAGAGGACCGAGAACCGCAGGGAACAACUCGGGACGGAUAAACAACGUUUUAAAUUUAUGGUGCCUUCAGAAUAUACUACUGUUGUUGAUUUUAUUGUUGUUUUUUUCACUCCGCUUUUAGGAUAGUCUACUGGGAAACUUCCCUCUGUUUUCCCAGCAGAGCAGCAGGGAGGUUGGAGAGUGAGCAGCGCCACCCUGAGGCCAGGGAGGCAAUGGCGUCAGGAACGGAAGCCUGCCGCUUAGGUCGAGCAGCUGCGCGAUCACAUGGCCCCGGCUACAUUUAGAGGUUGGCCUCAAAGUUGCUGUGUGGAUGAAGAUGAACUUGGACUCCUGAUCCUCUUUCCUCUACUUCCCAAGUGCUGAUGUAAUGGAUUCUGUCACCAUGCUUACCUUACAUGGUCAUACACGGCUCAUGUUCAAGUGUUAGGUUCUCUGGGGCUGCGUAAAUGGACAACUGCUCAGACGUGUCACCUGUCAGGGAUGGGGCAAGGAUGCCAGGCAUCAGGGAGUCUGGAGUCUAAGUCAAAAGAAUGGUCUGUGGAGCAUUGGGAUGAACAGCAGACCCUUCAAAGACAGUGGGGACGGGCUGGCUCUAACAGGGCCCCAGCGUAUCUGCACGCAUUCCUUCUCUUGCUGCGGCAAGCCUUUGUGCAUUCUCCUGGCCGCUCACACUGUGCCCAUGUGUCCGGGUAGCGCCUUCCUUGUCUGAUCCUCUUUGCUUCUGACUCUGCCGAUAACCUGUAAACCCUUCUUUGAGAGUCUCGAACUCUCUUCAUCUCCUUCCCAACUCUGAUCAAACAAACAAACAAACAAACACUGGACACCCACUCUCAGGAGCAGCUGUUGUGCAGAACUAGAAUAUCAGAUGAUGUCAGUGACGACUGGCCAGCCUGCAGAGGGCUACCAUUGACUCUGGUGAAGAUCCCUGUCGCAGUCUGCCAUGACCAGGGGUUUGGGACUCUGCUACCUGCCAGUCAGUACCUUCAUGACUUUGCUGUCAGCCGUCAGACAGCCCUGUAGACAGGGUAGCUUCAACAAAAGCUCUCUAAGGGCUCAUGGUUCUGGAGGCCAGCAGUCUUAGCAUCAAAAGGGUUGAUCCUUUUUAGAGAUGUGAAACACCCUCACCCCGGCCCCCAGCUCUGGCUGGUUUGCUGGUUCUGCAGAGCUCCUUGGAUUAUAGAAGCAUCAUCCCCAGACCUCGCCUCUGCCCGCUACUUCCCAUGGCCACCUUCCAGUGUAUGCAUCCAAAGUCCCCCUUUCGCUGCAGACACUAGGCAUAAUGGAUCAAAGGAUUAGGAGACAUUUACAUCAAACACUACUGCUCCAGCCACUGUGAAAUCCUGAGACCUGUCUGCCUGCUG